AAUACAUGCAAGUCGAGGGGCAGCAUAAAAUUAGCUUGCUAAUUUGGUGGCGACCGGCGCACGGGUGAGUAACGCGUAUGCAACCUACCCUAUUCUGGGGGAUAGCCCGAAGAAAUUCGGAUUAAUACCCCAUGGCACUGAUUCGUGGCAUCACAAGUUAGUUAAAGGUUACGGAAUAGGAUGGGCAUGCGUCCCAUUAGCUAGAUGGUAUGGUAACGGCUUACCAUGGCGACGAUGGGUAGGGGGUCUGAGAGGAUGGUCCCCCACACUGGUACUGAGACACGGACCAGACUCCUACGGGAGGCAGCGGUGAGGAAUAUUGGUCAAUGGACGAGAGUCUGAACCAGCCAUGCCGCGUGCAGGAUGACUGCCCUAUGGGUUGUAAACUGCUUUUAUUGGGGAAUAAACCUUUCUACGUGUAGGAAGCUGAAGGUACUCAAUGAAUAAGCACCGGCUAACUCCGUGCCAGCAGC
rnacentral:rRNA from 1 species